ensembl:snRNA U6 U6 spliceosomal RNA
AUGCUUGCUUCGGCAACACAUGUACUAAAAUUGGAACAAUACAGAGAAGAUGAGCCUGGCCCCUGUGCAAGGAUGACACGCAAAUUCGUGAACCGUUCCAUAUUUUU